AGAUGGCCUUUAAAUGUCCCUUCCAAGCCAAGCCAUUCUGUGCUGCUGUGCACCAGUAGAGCAGUGCUGGAAUAAUGCUGGGGUGAUGAUGCUGGCACCUGUGUUUCGGUAGUUGUGCCAUUUAGCUGUUGGCCAAGAGAGGAUUGAUGGGCUGCACAGUGAAGUCUGCAAAGAACAGUGUGCUCAAGGAGAAACAGGAGAGGAACAGGGCUUCCAGCUCAGAUAAAUGCCAGCAUUUUGCUCCCAUUCAUUGUUAAGAAAUAAAGCAAUGUUCUGAAGAUCCCUUCAGUGUGGGUGCACUAUUGGCUGUAUCAGUGCUUGUGUUCUGUAAAACAGGUAUCCAUCAGGACAGUGGCUGUGAAGCUUGGAACAAUGUAGGUUUAGAGCAGCAAAAAUAAUAAUCCAUUUCCCAGGUUAAGCCAAGCAUUUCCCAAAUAACUCUAGCUAUCCUCAGGGAUGUUUCCAAAAGUAUCACAGUAAAUGUUGGGAGUGGGGAGAGAAUGUGAACAAAAUUAAGAAUACAGCUUUCUGAGAUCUUUUUAUUCCUAUAUAAACAGAGUCAAAAUUGUUUAUAGAUAGAACAUUAACUAAGAAGUGAACAACAGAUUGUCAAGAUAAUUGCUUAGGAAUCAAAAAUAUCUAAAUAAAAAUAAGUUAACAUGUGGAUUUAUGAGAAAACAAUCAUACUAAGAAAAAAACCAUACCUACCAAAUCUAAAAACAACAAGUCUGCCUCAUCUGUCUCAAUA